CAACUCGCCUACAUGAAGCUGGAAUUGCUAGUAAUCACAGGUCAGCAUACUGCCGUGAAUACGUUCCCGGGCCUUGUACACACCGCCCGUCACACCAUGAGAGUUGGAAAUACCCGAAGCCUGUGAGCUGACCGUAAGGGGGCAGCAGUCCGAAGGUAGAGCCAAUGAUUCGGGGUGAAGUCGUAACAAGGUAGC
rnacentral:rRNA from 1 species